rnacentral:rRNA from 1 species
GACGAACGCUGGAGGCGUGCUUAACACAUGCAAGUCGAACGAUGAAGUGGAGCUUGCUCCACGGAUUAGUGGCGAACGGGUGAGUAACACGUGAAUAACCUGCCCUCAAUUUCGGAAUAACCCAGGGAAACCUGGGCUAAUACCGGAUAAGUAAACCUGUGGCAUCACAUGGUUUUGGAAAGUUUUUCGAUUGAGGAUGGAUUCGCGGCCUAUCAGCUUGUUGGUGAGGUAAUGGCUCACCAGGGCGACGACGGGUAGCCGGCCUGAGAGGGUGAACGGCCACACUGGGACUGAGACACGGCCCAGACUCCUACGGGAGGCAGCAGUGGGGAAUAUUGCGCAAUGGACGAAAGUCUGACGCAGCGACGCCUCGUGAGGGACGAAGGUCUUCGGAUUGUAAACCUCUUUCAGCAGGGACGAAGCGAAAGUGACGGUACCUGCAGAAGAAGCACCGGCUAACUAUGU